AAUCAAAUUACCAAGAAAGUAAUUUUACUUUUAAAUCCUCCUUUAUAAUAUUCAUUAAUAAUAUUAAUCCGUAUAAAUAAAUUUAUUGUAACCCAUCACCACUUAUUUAUAAGCUGCACCUUGACCUGACAUAUUAUAUUUUGUAUUACUAGAAUAUUAACUUUCAAAAGAUACUCUGAUGACGGAGGUAUACAAGCUGAAUACAAAAAUAAGUAAAUUUUCAUCGUGGAUUAUCAAUUAAGGGACAGGUUCCUCUAAAAAGAAUAAAAUACCGCCAAAUUCUUUGGGUUUCAAGAACAUAACUAUUAAUACCCAGGUUAAUAUU
rnacentral:rRNA from 1 species